GUUGAAACACCGGUUCUUGUAUGAUCACUGAAGUUAAGCAACGUUGAACCUGGUCAUUAAUUAGAUGGAUGACCACUUGGCAGUACCAGGUGCUGUAAG